GAUGAACGCUGGCGGCGUGCCUAACACAUGCAAGUCGAGCGAUUCUCUUCGGAGAAGAGCGGCGGACGGGUGAGUAACGCGUGGGUAACCUGCCCUGUACACACGGAUAACAUACCGAAAGGUAUGCUAAUACGAGAUAAUAUGCUUUUAUCGCAUGGUAGAAGUAUCAAAGCUCCGGCGGUACAGGAUGGACCCGCGUCUGAUUAGCUAGUUGGUAAGGUAACGGCUUACCAAGGCGACGAUCAGUAGCCGACCUGAGAGGGUGAUCGGCCACAUUGGAACUGAGACACGGUCCAAACUCCUACGGGAGGCAGCAGUGGGGAAUAUUGCACAAUGGGCGAAAGCCUGAUGCAGCAACGCCGCGUGAGCGAUGAAGGCCUUCGGUCGUAAAGCUCUGUCCUCAAGGAAGAUAAUGACGGUACUUGAGGAGGAAGCCCCGGCUAACUACGUGCCAGCAGCCGCGGUAAU
rnacentral:rRNA from 1 species